rnacentral:sRNA from 1 species
CCUAACACUGUUGCUUCGGCGGGGAGCCCCCUAGGGGCGAGCCGCCGGGGACCACUGAACUUCAUGCCUGAGAGUGAUGCAGUCUGAGCCUGAAUACAAAUCAGUCAAAACUUUCAACAAUGGAUCUCUUGGUUCCGGCAUCGAUGAAGAACGCAGCGAACUGCGAUAAGUAAUGUGAAUUGCAGAAUUCAGUGAAUCAUCGAGUCUUUGAACGCACAUUGCGCCCCCUGGCAUUCCGGGGGGCAUGCCUGUCCGAGCGUCAUUGCUGCCCUCAAGCCCGGCUUGUGUGUUGGGUCGUCGUCCCCCCCGGGGGACGGGCCCGAAAGGCAGCGGCGGCACCGUGUCCGGUCCUCGAGCGUAUGGGGCUUUGUCACCCGCUCGAUUAGGGCCGGCCGGGCGCCAGCCGGCGUCUCCAACCUUAUUUUUCUCAGGUUGACCUCGGAUCAGGUAGGGAUACCCGCUGAACUUAAGCAUAUCAAAAGCCCGGAGGAAACAUUACCUCAGGUAGGGAUACCCGCUGAACUUAAGCAUAUCAAUAAGCGGAGGAAAAGAAACCAACCGGGAUUGCCUCAGUAACGGCGAGUGAAGCGGCAAGAGCUCAAAUUUGAAAGCUGGCCCCUUCGGGGUCCGCGUUGUAAUUUGCAGAGGAUGCUUCGGGUGCGGCCCCUGUCUAAGUGCCCUGGAACGGGCCGUCAGAGAGGGUGAGAAUCCCGUCUUGGGCAGGGUGCCCGUGCCCGUGUGAAGCUCCUUCGACGAGUCGAGUUGUUUGGGAAUGCAGCUCUAAAUGGGUGGUAAAUUUCAUCUAAAGCUAAAUACCGGCCGGAGACCGAUAGCGCACAAGUAGAGUGAUCGAAAGAUGAAAAGCACUUUGAAAAGAGAGUUAAACAGCACGUGAAAUUGUUGAAAGGGAAGCGCUUGCGACCAGACUCGGCCCCGGGGUUCAGCCAGCA